UGCAGAAUCCCGUGAACCAUCGAGUAUUUGAACACAAGUUGCGAGGGCACGCCUUCCUGGGCAUCACACGCCGUUGCCCCUCGCGCCUUCCUCGGGAGCGUCGGGGUGCAGACGAUGUCCUCCCGUGCAUCGACCUGCGCGAUUGGCACAAAUGUCGAGUCCUCGACGACGAAUGCCACGAUAAUCGGUGGUUGCCAAACCUCGGUUGCCUGUUGUGCGCUUUCGUCGCGCUCCGAGCGGCUCGCGACACUCCCCGCUUUACUUCGGCCGAGCUUUCAAUGCGACCCCAGGUCAGGCGGGGUUACCCGCUGAAUUUAA
rnacentral:rRNA from 1 species